rnacentral:lncRNA from 1 species
CAGAUUGCACUGCUUCCUGAUCUCACCCUUGGAACCAGUCAAAGGGUUGUUCUCGGACAAGAUCUGGAUGGCUCUAGUGAACUCCUUGAAGAAGUAAGCCUGGUCCUUAGCCAUCUUCUUAACAAUUGGUCUGGUUCGUUUGUCGUGUGCGAGCUGGUGGUCCACAAGGAGCAAACCCUUGUUGUCUAGGAUGUUACGGUAGUAGUUGUUGUCUAGUACCAUAGGUGUACCGCGGUCAUUACGCACAUACUGGACUGCCUUUGGGUCAGGGAUCGAGUCGGGACACUUGUGGAGCAUGUGAGGGACGUGGUCCGGGUUCAAGGAUGGGUCCACCUCAGGGUACAAACGGUGCACCAGCUUCACACAGUGAGUUCUUCCCACGCUGUGUGAUCCUACACACGUGAUAAAACAAAAUGUCAAAAUCGUACAGUCUCCAACUUAAUAAAAGACCUAAAUAAAUUUGUAUUGGUGUACUCCUAUACUAUUUUUAAUUUUCUUGACCAAAAUAACCUUGUACUAUGGUCAAUGGACCAGGACUUAGCAAAGGGUAUUAUAGUCUUUGGUGGUUAGUUUUGACUUUGUACCGAUCCGUUUUUACCAGGAGAUAUCGGAUAAGGAUUAUUUUCAGUUUUCCAACUCAGAUCGCGUAUUUCGAUGAGAUCCGAGGAGACUAGUACAAGUGGUUAAUUGAUAUUCCUAAUUUUUAAGAAUGUUUCAUACUUUCAUGCAUGAGUAAGUUUCUUGAACUAGGGCAUAUGAGCAAGACUAUUUCUUGGAUGGUGAUAGACUUUUUUUACUUUCGAGCGUUACAUUUUUAUUAGACACUAGGUGAGUAAAUAAUCAAGGAAGAGAAAAGGUAAUGGUACCGAG